AAAGCAGGUCGCCUUAUCGCGCUUUUUAGUGAGGAAAGUCCGGACACCAAAGCACAGCGUAGCGGGUAACGCCCGUCAUUUGUUUUAAUGACAAAUCGGACAAGUGCAACAGAAAGAAUGUACAGGUUAAGCUGUAGUGAAAUCAGGUAAACUCUACGCGGUGAAAUACCAAGUAAACCAAGGCUCGAGGCUUGUGCGGCCAAUCUUGGAGGGUUGGUAGAUUAGAUUUUAAUAGUAAUAUUAAAACCAGAUAAAUGAUAAGGCGUUAACUGAGGUUAACGACAGAAUCCGGCUUACAGACCUGCUUUUUUA
rnacentral:RNase_P_RNA from 1 species